ensembl:snRNA U6 U6 spliceosomal RNA
AAAAAAAUAGUGCUUGCCUAAAAUUGGAAUGAUACAAAAAAGAUUAGCAUGGCCUCUACACAAGCAUGACACACAAAUUAGUGAAGCGUUCCAUCGGUUU